UGGGGAAUCUUGCACAAUGGAGGAAACUCUGAUGCAGCGACGCCGCGUGAGCGAAGAAGCCUUUCGGGGUGUAAAGCUCUUACGCCAGGGACGAUAAUGACGGUACCUGGAGAAGCAGCUGCGGCUAACUACGUGCCAGCAGCCGCGGUAAUACGUAGGCAGCAAGCGUUGUUCGGAAUUACUGGGCGUAAAGGGUGCGUAGGCGGCGCUUUAAGUUUGGUGUGAAAUCUCCCGGCUUAACUGGGAGGGUGCACUGAAAACUGGGGCGCUCGAGUAUGGGAGAGGAAAGCGGAAUUCCUGGUGUAGCGGUGAAAUGCGUAGAGAUCAGGAGGAACACCUGCGGUGCAGACGGCUUUCUGGACCAUCACUGACGCUGAGGCACGAAAGCGUGGGUAGCAAACA
rnacentral:rRNA from 1 species